rnacentral:rRNA from 1 species
GCAUCAAAUCAAUGUGUAAAUGAAGAGUGCAGCUAAUUGUGAUAUGCAUUGCAAAUUGCAGAAUCCCGUGAGUCAAUAUGACUUCGAAUGUGAUUACAUGCUCAAGCAGUUCUUGGGUGUGCUCAUUUUUCAAUACAUAGAACUCACAUUCUUGUCCAC